rnacentral:rRNA from 1 species
AUUGAACGCUGGCGGUAUGCUUUACACAUGCAAGUCGAACGGCAGCAUAGGUGCUUGCACCUGAUGGCGAGUGGCGAACGGGUGAGUAAUGCAUCGGAACGUGCCCAAUCGUGGGGGAUAACGCAGCGAAAGCUGUGCUAAUACCGCAUACGAUCUACGGAUGAAAGCGGGGGACCUUCGGGCCUCGCGCGAAUGGAGCGGCCGAUGUUAGAUUAGGUAGUUGGUGAGGUAAAGGCUCACCAAGCCGACGAUCUAUAGCUGGUCUGAGAGGACGACCAGCCACACUGGAACUGAGACACGGUCCAGACUCCUACGGGAGGCAGCAGUGGGGAAUUUUGGACAAUGGGCAAAAGCCUGAUCCAGCAAUACCGCGUGCAGGAAGAAGGCCUCGGUUGUAAACUGCUUUUGUACGGUAACGAAAAGGACUACUUUCUUAAUAAAGAAGGGCGUCAUGACGGUACCGUAAGAAU